AUAGCUACUAGAUGGCGCUGUCCCUAGCAAAGCAGACGACGAUUCGGAAGGAAAAGUAAAAAUUAUAAUGGUGAAGAACACAACAGAAUUGGUCAAGUAGUGCUGUAAUCCUUUUAACUGUAAAAUUGACUAAAAGCAACACGAGAAGAGGAAUGGAAUCGGUUUGAAACAACGUGAGUGUCUACGCCAUCGAUCCAAUGGAAUUAGGAGGAGUCUGCUCUACCCACGUUUUAAUGGCGGAGGAAGGAGGGGACUUACUACAUCACCAAGUAAAUCGACGACGCUGUUCGGCUGUAGUUUCUGCUUUCCUGUAAGCGUCGGUUUCGAGCCGUGUCCAUGGCAAUGCAGUCGAGUGAUUCUGUACGUCGCAAUCCCGCCUAUGGUGUAGGCAACCGGAAGCGCCAUUCUUGCGGCCAACAAUCAACGGGAUGGUCAACAACAUCAUUUUUAGUUGUUCUGCCUGUCACAAAACGGGCACGGAGUUUCUAAUUGAUAGUCGUCUUUCACUCGUGACGGUAUUUAUUCGCAGACAUACAGUACGAUUUCUGUGAUGUUUUCCCAUACUUAUUUUCAUGCCAUAACGCAGUAGGCCUAGUCGCUUCCCCUUAGUUUUUAAUGAGCUACUUUUUGCCAAUCAUU